UACGGAGGGUGCAAACGUUGCUCGGAAUCAUUGGGCGGAAAGCGCACGUAGGCGGCCUGUUAAGUCGGGUGUGAAAUCCCUCGGCUCAACCGAGGAAGUGCAUUCGAAACUGGCGGGCUUGAAUGUGGAAGAGGGUCGUGGAAUUCCCGGUGUAGAGGUGAAAUUCGUAGAUAUCGGGAGGAACACCAGUGGCGAAGGCGGCGACCUGGGCCAACAUUGACGCUGAGGUGCGAAAGUGUGGGGAGCAAACAGG
rnacentral:rRNA from 1 species